rnacentral:tRNA from 1 species
GAUUUUCAGGCCAUUGGAGGCAUGGCCGUUCUGGCCGGCCAUCGCCUGCUGGUAGGCCGCAUAGCUGUUGUACCCCGCGAAGGCCGCC